AAAACUGUGGUUUAUUAGUAGGCACUUAAUAUUCCUUUUCUGUUGUACUAUCAUAAAUUUUGCAUGCAAUUACGGGCAGAACUUGGUGGCAGUUAGAGGAAACUGGUUCAUGCCCUGAAUAAAAUAUUAUUUUUAACGUGGAAGAAUGAAGCAAGCAGCUACUGUUUUUUCCAUGCAGAUGUUUAAUUUGAAUAAUCUUUCAUAUUUUAUUGCUUAUCUUUGGGUUUUUCUAAUUUCACUUAUCAUUUAUUCUAAUUGAUAUUAUGGUUGUUACGGGGGACAACAGCCACAACAUUGACGAGCUG
rnacentral:misc_RNA from 1 species